rnacentral:misc_RNA from 1 species
GAUGAAGAACGCAGCGAAAUGCGAUAAGUAGUGUGAAUUGCAGAAUUCAGUGAACCAUCGAAUCUUUGAACGCACAUUGCGCCCGGCAGUAAUCUGCCGGGCAUGCCUGUCCGAGCGUCAUUUCUACCCUCGAGCGAGUCCAGCAUCUAGGUGCUGGGCCUCGCCCGGCGUUGGAGCACUACGGGAAGCCCUGUGCUGUCCCCCGUAGGACCCGAAAUGAAGUGGCGGUCCUGCCGCGGCGCCCCCUGCGUAGUAUAACAGCUCGCUUCGGGACCCGGUGGAGGCCUGCCGUCAAACCUAUACUCUCUAAGUUUGACCUCGGAUCAGGUAGGGUUACCCGCUGAACUUAAGCAUAUCAAUAAGCGGAGGA